GAUGAACGCUAGCGGCAGGCCUAACACAUGCAAGUCGAGGGGCAGCACAGAAACAGCAAUGUUUUGGUGGCGACCGGCGGACAGGUGCGUAACGCGUAUGCAACCUACCUUUAACAGGGGGAUAACGGAGAGAAAUUUCCACUAAUACCCCAUAACAUCGAUCAAGGCAUCUUGAUUGGUUGAAAACUCCGGUGGUUAAAGAUGGGCAUGCGUUGUAUUAGGUAGUUGGUGAGGUAAUGGCUCACCAAGCCUACGAUACAUAGGGGGACUGAGAGGUUAGCCCCCCACACUGUUACUGAGACACGGACCGGACUCCUACGGGAGGCAGCAGUGAGGAAUAUUGGUCAAUGGGGGCAACCCUGAACCAGCCAUGCCGCGUGCAGGAAGACGGCUCUAUGAGUUGUAAACUGCUUUUAAACAGGGAUAAAGCACAGUAUGUAUACUGUGUUGAAGGUACUGUAAGAAUAAGGAUCGGCUAACUCCGUGCCAGCCGCCGCAGUAA
rnacentral:rRNA from 1 species